rnacentral:rRNA from 1 species
AUACGGAGGGUGCAAGCGUUAAUCGGAAUUACUGGGCGUAAAGCGUACGUAGGCGGUUCGUUAAGUUAGAUGUGAAAGCCCCGGGCUUAACCUGGUAACUGCAUUUAAAACUGGCGAACUAGAGUUGAGUAGGGGGGAGUGGAAUUUCAGGUGUAGCGGUGAAAUGCGUAGAGAUCUGAAGGAACACCAGUGGCGAAGGCGACUCCCUGGACUCGAACUGACGCUGAGGUACGAAAGCGUGGGUAGCAAACGGGAUUAGAAACCCUAGUAGUCC